GUAUUUGACAAUCGUCGAAGCCCUGAUCCAGCCAUGCCGCGAGUGUCAAGCAGGUGUUCCGUCUGCAAACCACUCUAUGCUGGGAGCGAGGGCAGUAAGUGAAUACCUUGAUGUUUGGACGUUACCGGCAGAAUAAGCCCCGGCUUGCUUUGUGCCACCAUCCGCGGUAAUACGAAGGGUGCAAGCGUUAAUCGGAAUUACUGGGCGUAAAGCGCGCGUAGGUGGUUUGUUAAGUUGGAAGUGAAAGCCCCGGGCUCAACCUGGGAACUGCUUUCAAAACUGGCAAGCUAGAGUAUGGCAGAGGGUGGUGGAAUUUCCUGUGUAGCGGUGAAAUGCGUAGAUAUAGGAAGGAACACCAGUGGCGAAGGCGACCACCUGGGCUAAUACUGACACUGAGGUGCGAAAGCGUGGGGAGCAAAC
rnacentral:rRNA from 1 species